AUUGAACGCUGGCGGCAGGCCUAAUACAUGCAAGUCGAACGAGUGGCGGACGGGUGAGUAAUGUCUGGGAAACUGCCUGAUGGAGGGGGAUAACUACUGGAAACGGUAGCUAAUACCGCAUACCAUCAGAUGUGCUCAGAUGGGAUUAGCUAGUAGGUGGGGUAAUGGCUAACCUAGGCGACGAUCCCUAGCUGGUCUGAGAGGAUGACCGACCACACUGCAACUGGGACACGGUCCAGACGCCUACGGGAGGCAGCAGGGGGGAAUAUUGCACAGUGGGCGCAAGCCGGAUACAUCCAUGCCGCGUGUGUGAAGAAGGCCUUCGGGUUGUAAAGCACUUUCAGCGAGGAGGCGUUACUCACAGAAGAAGCACCGGCUAACUCCGUGCCAGCCGCCGCGGUAAUUC
rnacentral:rRNA from 1 species